rnacentral:ncRNA from 1 species
UCAGCGCCCCGGUGAAAACGCCCUUAAACCCUCAUAGGACUAAGGAGCUGGUAUCAGGCUCAACUAUUAGCCCAAGACACCUAGCUAUGCCACACCCACAAGGGUACUCAGCAGUAAUUAACAUUGAAUAUAAGCGCCAGCUUGAUUCAGUUAAGGUAAGUAGGGCCGGCAAAUCUGGUGCCAGCCGCCGCGGUUACACCAUGAGACCCAAAUUGAUUUCUUUCGGCGUAAAGCGUGAUUAAAGCAACUUUAUACUGUAGUCAAACUAAAAUUAUAGUUGUGAAAAGCUUAUACUUAGGAAGCCCAAAAACGAAAGUUACUACACCGAAAACAACUUGAAUUCACAACAGCUAAGACACAAACUAGGAUUAGAUACCCUACUAUGCUUAGCCGCAAACUUUUAAUUACACUCACAACGCCAGGGUACUACGAGCAAAGCUUAAAACCCAAGGGACUUGACGGUACCCCAUAUCCCCCUAGAGGAGCCUGUCCUAUAAUCGAUAAUCCCCGUUUAACCUCACCAUUUUUAGCCAUAUCAGUCUGUAUACCUCCGUCGCCAAUUUACCACGUGAGCGUCUAAUAGUAAGUGAAAUGUCUUAUUACUCGAUUAUACGUCAGGUCAAGGUGCAGCAAAUAAAAUGGGAAGAGAUGGGCUACACUCUCUAAUUUAGAGCAUACGGAAAACUCGUUAUGAAAAGAGUUUGAAGGCGGAUUUAGUAGUAAGAGAGGCUCAGAGAACCCCUCUAAACCGGCACUGGGGUGUGUACACACCGCCCGUCACCCUCUUCGCAGCCCUUAAAUAGUGUUUUACAACCCCAUGCAUAGUANNNNNNNNNNNNNNAGUAUACCGGAGGUGUGCUUGGAAA